rnacentral:tRNA from 1 species
AUGGGUAUAGCUCAGUGGUAGAGCGGGUGCUUAGCAUGCACAAGGUCCUGGGUUCAAUCUCCAGUACCUCUA